AGGGGCAAAAUUUCCUAUAAAAUGGACAGCUCCUGAAGCUGCACUGUAUGGCAAGUUUUCCAUCAAGUCAGAUGUUUGGUCUUAUGGAAUUCUUCUGUAUGAACUUGUUACACAUGGCCAAGUUCCUUAUCCAGGUAUGCAAAAUCGAGAAGUUAUUCAAGAAGUUGAAAGAGGUUACAGGAUGCCUAAGCCUACAAACUUCGAAUGUCCUGACACUGUGUAUAGUGUCAUGCUACAGUGUUGGGAUGGUGAGCCAGACAGAAGGCCAACCUUUGAGUUUCUCUUUGGAUACUUUGAUGAUUACUUUGUAUCAACUGAGCCCAGUUACAGAGAUGCUGAAGAAUUUUAACUAAGAAGACUUUAAGGCAUUAGUCAGCAUUUGUUUUCUACACAUCCUUAAAGCAGGUUAAAUAGUACCUGCAAGACAUUGAAAAACUUUGGAAUAGAUAGUUGAAAUUUUGAUUUGUGCAUCGAAGGCAUUGGUGCAAUCCAAUAUUUUUGUCAACGAGAAAACAGUAAUCUGUAGUCUGCCAUAAUGCAUCUUUCCGUCUUUCAGUGGGGGGGAAAAAAGUGGAUUGAACCUCAUAUGAAACAAGGAGGCCUUUCUGACGCUCAAUACUUUGUAAGAAGAAUAUAUAUAUAUAGUUUUUAAAUUAAGGCAGAUUUUUAUAGUAUGGGUCCCUUACCAUAUAUUUGGCACUGCUCAAGACAGUGUUCAUUGUAAUAUGGUCUGUUUGAACAUUGAGUUUUAUCAUGUCAUCAACUACAUAUGUAAUUAUUUCAGACUCAAACUAUGCCAAGGAUAAAACCCAAGGGUGAACCCCUUUAGCUCUGGGGCUUCCAUCAAGCCCAGCCUAUCAUUUGUCAAGGAAGAUAAUCCCAGGCCUUAAAGGAAAACAAAUGAAAAUAUUUAAUUGUAAGAUAAAUCUAAUCGUAAUGUAUGAAAUUCUUAUAUAUAUAUCACACACACACACACAUACAAAUGUAUUGGAACUCUUUGGUCUAACCAUCUGUGAAGAAUUAUGUGGGACUAUAAGUGAUAUUUCCAGAACAGUAUCAUUGUUUUUAAUUAAGUAAUGUUUAUUUGACCAUUUAAUACAUCCAUGUGGGUGUAUUUUAAUUCAAAAUCUUGAAUAGCAUCUGUUGUUCUUGUUUUUACUCCUAAUUAUGUUUUUUUCUAAUCCAAGGCUGAUGAUAUUUACAGAUUAUGAAAGAAAUGUUGGAUUUUGAAUUCUGUUAAUAAAUUGUUUUAUAACAGUUGUUCUGAUGUCACAUCUUCAUCUUAGGAUUUAAAUUAUAAAGUAAAAUAGCUUAUUUGUUAAACUAUUCAUUACUAAACUAAAGUUAACUAAAUAUUUUGCGAUAAUACACUAUGGAAAAAUAAACACACUCCCUAUUUAUUUGUAAAGCAUUUUGGUAUUAGACAUUUGUGUGAAAACGAGUUUACACAAAUAAUAGUUAGCAUACUUGCAAGAUAUUGGGCAUAAAGGUUUCAUCAGAAUUAUGAAAUGUGUGUAGUUUUUGAUAGUUGUAAUACUUUUUAUAGCUGUUGUUAUCAGUACAUAGAUAUUCCCAGAUGUAAGAUAGAACUUAAUAAAUGAGUACGUUUAAGUUGUGAAAAUGUUUAAUAAGUUGUUGCCAGGUAAUGGAAUAUCCAUUUCAUAUCAUAAUUCUUUAGGGUUCUGCAAGUUGAUUUUUGUUCUUUGUGAAAAUGCAAGUAAAACAAGUGCUAUACCUCAGUUACAUUUUUAAAUGAAGUGCUUAAAUGUUUUAAAAAAUAUUUAAGCUGGUUUGGAACUAUUAAGUGCCUUGAUGGUAUUUUAAUAGAGUUCAGACCUAACAGUAAGUUCAUGUUUUUGAAAUAAGCUUUCUGGUUAGUAAUGAAUCACAAUAUUAAUGUAUAACAUUAAUUUCACGAGUAAUUAUGUAAACAUGCAAAUGCAAGUUUUCUGAAAAACUGUUGCAUAAUAAGUGUUUGGGAGGUUGUAAACAUGCAAAUGCAAGUUUUCUUUAAAACUGUUGCAUAAUAGAUAUGUUUGGGAGGUUGGCAUCAAGUAGUUUAUGCUUAAACAUUGUUCCAGUACUUUUUGAGAUAGUUCUUUGUGUAAAGAAUAUUUCAAAUUGUUUAGGAUAUUUCUUCAAUUUAUGAUAAACUAGCAAACUUUUUGAAACAACUGUCUUAUUUUAUAUUAUAAAAGUUAAUAUUGCUAUGUUGAGCUGUUAGAAGCUCUUCUAAACAAUGUCUUUGAAAACCUUUGAACUAUUAAAAUAUUAUCUUUUUAAAUGAAAAAUGACCAAGAUUCUGUGAGGAAGGUUUAACAUAUGGGUAGAAUAUUUUUACCCACAUAAACUUAUGUCAUAUAAUAGACAUAUCUAGCAUAAAAAAAAUUAUUUUUAGAGAUGCACUUACAUGAAUUUUAUCACCAAGUGGAAAAUUCUUAGAAGUUUAAAUGAACAGUUUUAAAGAACCGAGUAGUUAAAAGAUGUAAAUUAUUUGAGCUAGAUUGUGAUGAUUUUUUUUGUGAAAAUUUAAUGACAUUCUCAAAUAGUUGAAAUAAUGCACUUACAUGAAUUUUAUCACAAUGUGGAAAAUUCUUAUAAGUUUAAGUGAACAGUUUUAAAGAACCUGAGUAGUUAAAAGAUGUAAAUUAUUUGAGCUAGAUUGUGAUGAUUUUUUUUUUGUGACAAUUUAAUGACAUUCUCAAAUAGUUGAAAUGGUAAUUAUUAAACAAUAGCUAAACUGUAUUUUUAUUAGCUUUGUACACAAUUUUUUUAGUGAAGUUGAUUUAUGUUGAAUAGUUGAAAAUAUGUAUGUACUCAACUUUCACUUGAAUGUUUGUAAUAGUGCAUUAAUUGAUAUAAAUCCUGUUAUAGAUUCAUUUCUAGUUACUUUGUAUAUGUCUAUUCCAUAUCAAAAGGUCUUUAAGAGGGAAGCACGCUAAGAAGAUUAUAAUCAUCAAAAAACAAAUGUCGACAAUGGAGCCAUUACUCAUGAUAAUGUAAUAUUUUCUGACUGGUGAAUUUCAAUAUAUAUAUAUAUAUAUAUUUGCUUCUUUAUUAAAUAAUUACAGCAAUCAAGUUAAGUAAAGCUGAUUCCUUGCAAUUGUGCAUAGUAGAUUUAAAAUGUUGAAUUACAUUCUCAUUGACCAAACAAAAGUUUUUAUAUAUGUAGAAAACUAAGUGUUAUUUGCUAGAUGCAGUUUUGUUUUACUACUUAUAUUAAUAAGUUGUUAAAAUGCCUUCUUAAAAUAAGUGUUUACAAGUACUAUUAGUUUCUGUUUAUUCAGCUGCAAACAUAAUUAACUGAGGCAGUUAAUAAAUUAACAAAGACAUGGGCAUAUAGAGUAUAUACUGGUUCAAUAGCUUCUUCUUGAUCAAAUAUCUCACAAAUGUAUACAGUGAAAGGAGGAAGAUUAAAAGCUUAAGAACCUCUUUCUGAGAGUUAUUAGAAUAAUAACUAUUUAUUUUCCUCUAGAAAAAUAGUUUGUUAAAACUGAAAUCAUACUUUGACUUAAAGAAUAUUUUAUACAUAUUGAAUAUUUAUUGUAAGGGUUUAACUGUUGUAUAGAGUUAUCGAAAGUACUUUUUUUCAGAAUUCAAUGACUUAACCAUUUUCAAGACUUUCUUUGAAAGUUUUGUUUACCAUUUACUCUGACCAAAAAUUAAAAUGAGCCAGUUUACCAAGCAAAGUAUUUUUUUUUUUUGCAUGGAAUCUUUAAGUUAACCAUGAAAUAGUUGCUUCUAAGUCCAAAACUAAAAUAACUGAAACUUUUAAUUCAUGUACUUCAGUCUUAGUUAUUACUUUAAUUGCUUAUAUAUGAAAGCUUCAUUUUCCAAAUGAUAUCUUUUUCUACUUACAACCAAAAAAUUAUGGAACUAAAACAUGACAGAAAAUGACUAGUUGUACUUUAUUUAGAUAGUGGAGGACACUUCAUAUAAAUAUUUCAGUGCAAAGA
rnacentral:lncRNA from 1 species